CCCAAUAUUUAUUGAAUUUGGAUAGGAACCAUGAUUGGACAGAUUAUUAUUGUACAGUUUGCUGGCAUAGCAUUUUACACUGAAUCUUUAACCAUAGACCAAUGGCUGUGGUGUAUAUUUUUUGGGGUUGGAACGUUAGUCUGGGGCCAGCUAGUUACAUCUGUACCCACGAAGAGUUUACCGAAACAUUUACAUUGGGGUAAGGGGGAACCAGAA